rnacentral:rRNA from 1 species
GUGCCAGGCAGCCGCGGUAAUACGGAGGGUGCAAGCGUUGUCCGGAAUCACUGGGCGUAAAGGGUGCGCAGGCGGGGCAGCAAGUCGGAGGUGAAAUCCCACGGCUCAACCGUGGAAGUGCCUUCGAAACUGUUGCUCUUGAGUCCCGGAGAGGUUGCCGGAAUUCGUGGUGUAGCGGUGAAAUGCGUAGAUAUCACGAGGAACACCAGAGGCGAAAGCGGGCAACUGGACGGGUACUGACGCUCAGGCACGAAAGCGCGGGGAGCAAACAGGAUUAGAAACCCGAGUACC